GACGAACGCUGGCGGCGUGCUUAACACAUGCAAGUCGAACGGAAAGGCCCUGCUUUUGUGGGGUGAUCGAGUGGCGAACGGGUGAGUAACACGUGAGUAACCUGCCCUUGACUUUGGGGUAAGUUCAGGAAAGUGGGGCUAAUACCGGAUAGGAGCUCCUGCUGCGUGGAGGGGGGGGGAAAGUUUCGGCGGUUGGGGGUGGAUUCGCGGGUGACCAGCUUGUUGGUGGGGUAGGUGCUUGCCAAGGCUUUGGAGGGUAGGCGGCACGUGAGGGUGACCGGCCACAUUGGGACUGAGAGAGGGCCCAGACUCGUACGGGAGGCAGCAGUGGCGAAUAUUGCACAAUGGGCGGACGCCUGAUGCAGCAACGCCGCGUGCGGGAUGACGGCCUUCGGGUUGUAAACCGCUUUCGCCUGUGACGAAGCGUGAGUGACGGUAAUGGGUAAAGAAGCACCGGCUAACUACGUG
rnacentral:rRNA from 1 species